rnacentral:tmRNA from 1 species
GGCCUUUAAUAUUCUCCAAAAUUAAAGUACAAGAGACUUGUCCUUCGGGACUAUGGACAUAAACGCGCUCGUAAUACACGGAUCGGACCCGGGGGCGGUACCCGGCGACUCCACCAAACACCGUUCAUUUGACGGAUUCGGGGUCGAAAUAGGAUCGACGAACGUCCAAAGGGGUUAGCUUUGUUUCGGCGAGAUACCACCGUAUCGGUUCAAAACGUACAAUUGCAAAUGACAAUCGUGCACCGGUAGCAAUGGCUGCGUAAGCAGUCGGCGAGACCGAACAUUAAGUCCAGUCCCUUUGCAGGGCCUGGCGGGGUUCGCAGGCACCUGGCAACAGAAGCCUGCACU